rnacentral:tRNA from 1 species
GGGCAGGUGAUCCGAUUGGUAAUGGUGGUUCUCUGUAAAAGAAUUGGUGUAUAGCCGUAAAAGGUUCGAUUCCUUUACUGCUCA